GACAGCUUGGCCGAGUGGUUUAAGGCGAUAGAUUUGAAUGUACAAUAUCUAUUGGGUUCGCCCGCGCAGGUUCGAACCCUGCAGCUGUCG